AACGCGAAGAACCUUACCCAGGCUCGAACGGUCAGUGACAUCCUACGAAAGUAGGCUCCCGCAAGGGCACUGAUCGAGGUGCUGCAUGGCUGUCGUCAGCUCGUGUCGUGAGAUGUUGGGUUAAGUCCCGCAACGAGCGCAACCCUUGUCUUCUGUUGCCAUCGGGUUAUGCCGGGCACUCUGAAGAGACUGCCGGUGACAAACCGGAGGAAGGUGGGGAUGACGUCAAGUCAGCAUGGCCUUUAUGUCUGGGGCUACACACGUGCUACAAUGGCCGGUACAAACCGUUGCAAACUCGCGAGAGUGAGCUAAUCGGAGAAAGCUGGUCUCAGUUCGGAUUGCAGGCUGCAACUCGCCUGCAUGAAGUUGGAAUCGCUAGUAAUCGCGGAUCAGCACGCCGCGGUGAAUACGUUCCCGGGCCUUGUACACACCG
rnacentral:rRNA from 1 species